rnacentral:SRP_RNA from 11 species
GUCAGGGUUGGAAGCAAGCAACGCAGAGGCCAGCUGGCGGGUGUCGAGAGU